rnacentral:misc_RNA from 1 species
GAGACAACCUUGAUGUCCCAGCUCUACCAUUAUUGUCGUAAAAUCCUUGAUUAGUACUUGCCGGACUGCUUAUACCACUCAUGCCACUGGACAAAUGAUCAGCGUCGUAAGGAUUGUGCUUGGCACCAACUGGGCGUAGCACAGAUGAUGAAGCUCUAGCCUUGGCACCAGCUUUGAUUGCUUCACUAGAAUCUAGUUUCGCCAGCUUCCAUGCACUAAUUCGGACUGGACGGUGGGAUGCCUUUUUGUCCUUGUCUAGUGCAUCAGGAUCAACAGUAGAUGGCAAUCGCCCAGGCUGAAGAUGAGGAAUAAUUUCAUCCUGAUGAUCCAUGAAGAUUCUUGGAGGAGUACACCAAGCACCUUUAUGUUGCAAGCUCAUCCCAACAGAACUUCUUCCACUGAUGGCAGUCACCGCAGAGCUGGUCGGCGAUGAUGGCAAACUCUGCUGAUCACCUCCAUCUACAGAGGGUCCAGGCGGCUCACUUUGAGAUCUCAUUGCAACAACAUACUCAUAUGUUGUAAUACCCU